GCCUCGUUAGCGCAGUCGGUAGCGCGCCAGUCUCAUAAUCUGGAGGUCCUGAGAUCGAAACUCAGACGGGGCA